rnacentral:rRNA from 1 species
GAUGAACGCUGGCGGCGUGCCUAAUACAUGCAAGUCGAGCGAACAGACGAGGAGCUUGCUCCUCUGACGUUAGCGGCGGACGGGUGAGUAACACGUGGAUAACCUACUUAUAAGACUGGGAUAACUUCGGGAAACCGGAGCUAAUACCGGAUAAUAUAUUCAACCGCAUGGUUCAAUAGUGAAAGACGGUUUUGCUGUCACUUAUAGAUGGAUCCGCGCCGCAUUAGCUAGUUGGUAAGGUAACGGCUUACCAAGGCAACGAUGCGUAGCCGACCUGAGAGGGUGAUCGGCCACACUGGAACUGAGACACGGUCCAGACUCCUACGGGAGGCAGCAGUAGGGAAUCUUCCGCAAUGGGCGAAAGCCUGACGGAGCAACGCCGCGUGAGUGAUGAAGGUCUUCGGAUCGUAAAACUCUGUUAUUAGGGAAGAACAAAUGUGUAAGUAACUAUGCACGUCUUGACGGUACCUAAACAGAAAGCCACGGCUAACUACGUG